CAGUAGCCGCGGGAAUACAGAGGGUGCGAGCGUUAAUCGGAUUUACUGGGCGUAAAGCGUGCGUAGGCGGCUUCUUAAGUCGGAUCUGAAAUCCCUGAGCUUAACUUAGGAAUUGCAUUCGAUACUGGGAAGCUAGAGUAUGGGAGAGGAUGGUAGAAUUCCAGGUGUAGCGGUGAAAUGCGUAGAGAUCUGGAGGAAUACCGAUGGCGAAGGCAGCCAUCUGGCCUAAUACUGACGCUGAGGUACGAAAGCAUGGGGAGCAAACAGGAUUAGAUACCCCGGUAGUCCCUGUCUCUUAUCA
rnacentral:rRNA from 1 species